rnacentral:rRNA from 1 species
GACGUAGGGGGCCAGCGUUACUCGGAAUUACUGGGCGUAAAGGGUCCGUAGGCGGUGCGGUAAGUCGGGAGCGAAAUCUCUGGGCUUAACUCAGAGGCUGCUUCCGAAACUACCGUGCUAGAGUGCGAGAGAGGCAAGUGGAAUUGCGGGUGUAGCGGUGAAAUGCGUAGAUAUCCGCAGGAACAUCCGAGGCGAAAGCGGCUUGCUGGAUCGCAACUGACGCUGAGGGACGAAAGCUAGGGGAGCAAACAGG